rnacentral:rRNA from 1 species
GAUGAACGCUAGCGGCAGGCCUAAUACAUGCAAGUCGAACGGUGUCUUCGGACAUAGUGGCGCACGGGUGCGUAACACGUAUGCAACCUACCUUACAUUGGGGGAUAGCCUUUCGAAAGGGAGAUUAAUACCGCAUAAGACAGUAGCUGGGCAUCCAGCAGCUGUUAAAGAUUUAUCGAUGUAAGCUGGGCAUGCGUCCAAUUAGCUAGUUGGUGAGGUAACGGCUCACCAAGGCAAUGAUUGGUAGGGGAACUGGGAGGUCAAUCCCCCACACUGGCACUGAGAUACGGGCCAGACUCCUACGGGAGGCAGCAGUAGGGAAUAUUGGGCAAUGGACGCAAGUCUGACCCAGCCAUGCCGCGUGCAGGAUGAAGGCGUUAUGCGUUGUAAACUGCUUUUAUACAGGAAGAAACGACUCUUGCGAGAGGCAUUGACGGUACUGUAUGAAUGAGCACCGGCUAACUCCGUGCCAGCCGCCGCGGUAAGAC